rnacentral:rRNA from 1 species
AGACGUCUACAUUAGAUACCCGCGUAGUCCCAGCCCUAAACGAUGCGCGUUAGGUGUAUCGGUGACCCACGAGUCACCGAGGUGCCGAAGGGAAACCGUGAAACGUGCCGCCUGGGAAGUACGGUCGCAAGGCUGAAACUUAAAGGAAUUGGCGGGGGAGCACAACAACGGGUGGAGCUUGCGGUUUAAUUGGAUUCAACGCCGGAAAUCUUACCGGGACCGACAGCAACAUGAAGGCCAAGCUGAAGACUUUGCCGGAUUAGCUG